UACGGCGGCCAUAGCGGAGGGGAAACGCCCGGCUCCAUUCCGAACCCGGAAGCUAAGCCCUCCAGCGCCGAUGGUACUGCACUCGUGAGGGUGUGG
rnacentral:rRNA from 1 species